GUGGGGAAUCUUGCGCAAUGGGCGAAAGCCUGACGCAGCCAUGCCGCGUGAAUGAUGAAGGUCUUAGGAUUGUAAAAUUCUUUCACCGGGGACGAUAAUGACGGUACCCGGAGAAGAAGCCCCGGCUAACUUCGUGCCAGCAGCCGCGGUAAUACGAAGGGGGCUAGCGUUGCUCGGAAUUACUGGGCGUAAAGGGCGCGUAGGCGGAUCGUUAAGUCAGGGGUGAAAUCCCAGCUCUCAACUCUGGAACUGCCCUUGAUACUGGCGAUCUUGAGUGUGAGAGAGGUAUGUGGAACUCCGAGUGUAGAGGUGAAAUUCGUAGAUAUUCGGAAGAACACCAGUGGCGAAGGCGACAUACUGGCUCAUUACUGACGCUGAGGCGCGAAAGCGUGGGGAGCAAACAGGAUUAGAAACCCUUGUAGUCC
rnacentral:rRNA from 1 species